rnacentral:rRNA from 1 species
UUUUAUGGAGAGUUUGAUCCUGGCUCAGGACGAACGCUGGCGGCGUGCCUAAUACAUGCAAGUCGAGCGAAUGGAUGGGAGCUUGCUCCCUGAAAUUAGCGGCGGACGGGUGAGUAACACGUGGGCAACCUGCCCUGUAGACUGGGAUAACUUCGGGAAACCGAAGCUAAUACCGGAUAAUCUUUGGAACCUCAUGGUUCCAAAGUAAAAGUUGGGUUUACC